GAUGAACGCUAGCUACAGGCUUAACACAUGCAAGUCGAGGGGAAAUGACAUCGAAAGCUUGCUUUUGAUGGGCGUCGACCGGCGCACGGGUGAGUAACGCGUAUCCAACCUGCCCAUCACUUGGGUAUAACCUUGCGAAAGUAAGACUAAUACCCAAUGAUAUCUCUAGAAGACAUCUGAAAGAGAUUAAAGAUUUAUCGGUGAUGGAUGGGGAUGCGUCUGAUUAGCUUGUUGGCGGGGUAACGGCCCACCAAGGCAACGAUCAGUAGGGGUUCUGAGAGGAAGGUCCCCCACAUUGGAACUGAGACACGGUCCAAACUCCUACGGGAGGCAGCAGUGAGGAAUAUUGGUCAAGGGGCGAGAGCCUAAACCAGCCAAGUAGCGUGCAGGAAGACGGAGCUAUGGGAUGUAAACUGCUUUUAUAAGGGAAUAAAGUGAGAGUCGUGACUCUUUUUGUAUGUACCUGAUGAAUAAGGACCGGCUAAUUCCGU
rnacentral:rRNA from 1 species